AGUGAACGCUGGCGGCAGGCCUAACACAUGCAAGUCGAGCGGCAGCGGGUUCCCGCGAGGGGAUGCCGGCGAGCGGCGGACGGGUGAGGAACACAUCGGAAUCUGCCUGGUUGUGGGGGAUAACGUAGGGAAACUUACGCUAAUACCGCAUGCGACCCUGAGUCGACGGACUUGGGGUGAAAGUGAGGGACCUUCGGGCCUCACGCGACCAGAUGAGCCGAUGUCGGAUUAGCUAGUUGGCGGGGUAACGGCCCGCCAAGGCGACGAUCCGUAGCUGGUCUGAGAGGAUGAUCAGCCACACUGGGACUGAGAC
rnacentral:rRNA from 1 species